GGGCACAUCAGGGGCAUGACGUUACAUGUUAUUUUGUCAUGUUGAAGCGAAGUGUCGAUACAUCCUGUCACAAUACUUCAAAGGUCAACAUUGUGGAGAGUAGUGUGUAACAUCACUACUACGUUUCACUGGAGAGUCGUAAAAGGUCCAUCAGCGAUUACCGAGGACCGACAGACCACAACUUUACUCAGGGCGAAGGUUGCUGACGCUGUUCAAUAGUUAGAAGGAUCCGUUUUGACAAGAACACGUCACGUUAGCUACAAGAUAGCUAACUGACUAAUUAAGUUGUUUUUCGGAGUUUUUCGCUCACUGGAGGGAAUGGAGAAAGCUAAACAAGAUGCAUUCGACAGUGCCAGACUUCAAGUUAUCAAAGAUGGCUAUGAGAGGGCUUUCGAGUGCAUUAAUAAAGGACUCACAAUAGAUGAAGCUGGGGAGAAGGCACAGGCCCUGGAGCUCUACAAGCGAGGGCGACAGCACCUUCUCCGGGCCAUUAGUGUGCCCUCACAAGGAGAGGAGUGUGUCGGCAGCUCCUGGGAAUCAGCCAGGCAGAUGCAGCAGAAGAUGCAGGAGACGCUGAACAACAUCACCACUCGCCUGGCCAUACUAGAGACCAGCUCGGACCUUGAAUCUGCAACUACACUGAACACUAGCAGUGUGUCUGGCCUUGAUGCUACAAACGUGUCUGAAGAAGGUCUCUACCCAAAACUUCCCACCAAAAACAAGCCAGAGAAGCCAGCUCCACCAAAGCUACUUACUCCUAACAGCCAGGCAGCAGGAGCUGUAGGAGGGGUGCCAGCAUGCAGUAGUGAGGGUCUACCUCUCUCACCUACCAGACAGCCUGUGGUUCCAGCGGAAAAGCCUCCAGCUUACUCUCCUCAGGCAGCUGACGGCCACCUAUCUGUCUCAUAUGGAACGGAGUCAGGGGAAAUGUCAUUGGUUGGGGAUGAGUUCUACAGCCGUACAUCUAACUCAACACCAUCUCCCCAGAGUAUGGGAGAAGAAGGAGAGGAGCUGGUGUAUAUCCCUCAUGGUGUACAGAUAUUCUUUGUCACUCCUGAAGGGCAGGUGAGCGCUCCGUCGUACCCGGGCUUCCUGCGGCUGGUGAAGUUUACUGGUGACCAUGAAGCGAGGCCCAACCGACCACCAGCAUUUCUGCAGGUGUGUGACUGGCUAUACCCUCUCAUGGCCAUGGACUCACCAGUGUUGCUGUGUAACACUGGUGUGUUUAUGUUUCCGGACAUGAUGGCGCCAGGUCCAGGCUAUUAUGUUGGGGUGGUGUUGUCCUCUGAGCUGCCUGCUGCAGACAGACAGCUGUUCCAGGACCUGCUGUCCCAGAUGACAGAUCUCAGGGUACAGGCUCCAGAUGAAGCUGCAGACAACGUUAAUCUCAGUCAGAAGGUGUCCAUCGCUACACCCGAGGAGACUGAACCAGCUGUGAUCGAGGAGGAGAAGGCUCUGCCCGAGUGGAGUGAAAAGGUGGCCAGCGGGAUCCUGACAGGUGCGUCAUGGCUAAGCUGGGGCCUGGUGAAAGGAGCAGAGUUUACAGGCAAGGCCAUUCACAAAGGGGCAUCUAAACUCAGGGAACACAUCACCCCAGAGGACACACCCACCCACGUCAGCCCCACCGUCACCAAAGGCCUCCACGUUGCCAAGCAAGCGACCGGGGGAGCUGUCAAAGUCAGCCAGUUUCUAGUGGACGGGGUGUGCACGGUCGCUGGCUGUGUGGGUCGAGAGUUGGCACCCCACGUGAAAAAACACGGCGGCAAGCUGAUCCCAGAGUCUAUGAGGAAAGACAAGGAUGGGCGUUCCAACAUAGAUGGAGCCAUGGUGGUGGCUGCCAGUGGAGUGCAAGGAUUUGCGACCAUGUGGACUGGUUUGGAAGUAGCAGCAAGGGACAUCACUACGAGUGUAGCGUCAGAGACGGUCACCACCGUAAAACACAAAUUUAGGGGUCUACAAAACAUCUUUGACCCACCUAAUGAGAAUAGGUGUCAUUUUUCCUAAUUAUACACAGCUAUUGCUAUUACUACUAUAACUCCUUUCUCCACUAAUCACAAGCAUGACAUGAGUCUUUUUUUUUUUUCUUUCUUUGGAAUGAUUUGGCUCUUGCACAAAGCUCUCUAAAGUUAUCUAAGCUGCUGUGCCUACUCACUGCCCUUCCCUGUGUGGCGGUUCACACAAUGGUGCAGCUUUUCACUGAUUUCUCCAAAUUUCGGUCUAUCCUGAUUUAAAAAAAACAAACAAAUCUUCCCAUAUUGUAUAAAUUGGUAUUACAUGUUCCAAUGAUGAGCAAAAUAUCUACACAGUAUAGUUGAUUAUUUAUUUGCAGGGUUGGGCUAUAUGAGCUAAUAUAAAUUUGUCAACCAUUAAGAGUUUUUGUCAUACAAUUUCUCCCUUUUUAAGUGAAGUAUCAAUUUGACAGGUAUUUAAUUAACUGGAUUAGCCAAAAACAAACAUUCCCAUCCAGCUGUCUUAUAAUUUAAUGGUUUCUUAUUUAAUUAUUUAAUAAUCAAUAUUUUGGGGGGGAAAUUAUACAUACCAAGAUAGAUGAUCAAAUGCCCACCCUUUAAAUGUCUGAACCAUGGUUAAAAAAAAGAUAAAAAUUCAGAUUCUUGCAGUCAAUUUAACUUAACUUAAUUUAGGAUUUCGCACUUGCAUGGGUGUAAUUCUCACAUUAAAAUUCACAUACAGCAUGGCAUCUUGGCAAUCCUUGCUCUGCAUAUUAAUGAAUUCUCCCCAAAUCCUCUUUGUUUCUCGCUCUAACAUCCUAUCCAAUCUGACUUCUGAUGAAGGUAUGGGGCAGCAGCAGGACAGGCCACAGACCACGCUGUCAAUUCUGCCAUUAAUGUCGGUCUCACUGCCUGCAAUGUUGACAACCUGGGGAUCAAAGCUGUGGUGAAAAGGACUGGCAAGCAGACAGCGAAGGCCAUUUUGGAAGAUUACAAGCUCCAGGAAAAACCAGAGAAUGGGAAGCAAGUGGAGAAAUCGGGCAAAUAGCUGGUAGUGCCCUGCCACAUUCCCUCAGUAACGCCUUAAAGCAUAAUUU